GAUGAACGCUGGCUACAGGCUUAACACAUGCAAGUCGAGGGGAAACGACGGGGAAGCUUGCUUCCCCGGGCGUCGACCGGCGCACGGGUGAGUAACGCGUAUCCAACCUGCCUCUGACUGAGGGAUAACCCGUCGAAAGUCGGCCUAAUACCUCAUGGCAUCGUCUGCGGGCAUCCAACGACGAUUAAAGAUUUCAUCGGUCAGGGGUGGGGAUGCGUCUGAUUAGCUUGUUGGCGGGGUAACGGCCCACCAAGGCUACGAUCAGUAGGGGUUCUGAGAGGAAGGUCCCCCACAUUGGAACUGAGACACGGUCCAAACUCCUACGGGAGGCAGCAGUGAGGAAUAUUGGUCAAUGGGCGGGAGCCUGAACCAGCCAAGUAGCGUGCAGGAUGACGGCCCUAUGGGUUGUAAACUGCUUUUAUGCGGGGAUAAAGUGAGGGACGUGUCCUUCAUUGCAGGUACCGCAGGAAUAAGGACCGGCUAAUUCCGU
rnacentral:rRNA from 1 species